AUAUGAAGCUGAACGUGCCACAAAAAACAUAUGACGCCAUUAGUGUAAAUAUUAUAAAUCUUUACCAAGUAGGUUUUUGUCUAAUGAUUCAGAAGCCAAAGACCAAUUGUUGUUUAACUACACUUGAAACAUCGAGUCCGUCAGGGUUUAAUUGAAGAAAAAAUUAUUUCCCUAUUAGAACCAUCCUACUGUGAAGUUGAAUUAAACAUUUCUGAAAUAUCACUGUAAAUG
rnacentral:misc_RNA from 1 species